rnacentral:rRNA from 1 species
UAAGGAAUAUUGGUCAAUGGACGCAAGUCUGAACCAGCCAUGCCGCGUGAAGGAUGAAGGUCCUCUGGAUUGUAAACUUCUUUUAUCUGGGACGAAAACGGGAUUUUUAUCUCAAUUGACGGUACCAGAGGAAUAAGCACCGGCUAACUCCGUGCCAGCAGCCGCGGUAAUACGGAGGGUGCGAGCGUUAUCCGGAUUUACUGGGUUUAAAGGGUGCGUAGGUGGGCUUAUAAGUCAGUGGUGAAAUCUCCGAGCUUAACUUGGAAACUGCCGUUGAUACUAUAGGUCUUGAAUUAUCUGGAGGUUAGCGGAAUAUGUCAUGUAGCGGUGAAAUGCUUAGAUAUGACAUAGAACACCAAUUGCGAAGGCAGCUUACUACAUAUAAAUUGACGCUGAGGCACGAAAGCGUGGGGAUCAAACA